AGCUGAUGAUGAAAAAAA
rnacentral:snRNA from 1 species